rnacentral:rRNA from 1 species
CCUACGGGAGGCAGCAGUGGGGAAUUUUGGACAAUGGGCGCAAGCCUGAUCCAGCAAUGCCGCGUGAGUGAAGAAGGCCUUCGGGUUGUAAAGCUCUUUUGUCAGGGAAGAAACGGUGGGGGCUAAUAUCUCCUACUAAUGACGGUACCUGAAGAAUAAGCACCGGCUAACUACGUGCCAGCAGCCGCGGUAAUACGUAGGGUGCAAGCGUUAAUCGGAAUUACUGGGCGUAAAGCGUGCGCAGGCGGUUUUGUAAGUCUGUCGUGAAAGCCCCGGGCUCAACCUGGGAAUUGCGAUGGAGACUGCAAGGCUUGAAUCUGGCAGAGGGGGGUAGAAUUCCACGUGUAGCAGUGAAAUGCGUAGAGAUGUGGAGGAACACCGAUGGCGAAGGCAGCCCCCUGGGUCAAGAUUGACGCUCAUGCACGAAAGCGUGGGGAGCAAACAGGAUUAGAUACCCUGGUAGUCCACGCCCUAAACGAUGUCUACUAGUUGUCGGGUUUUAAUUAACUUGGUAACGCAGCUAACGCGUGAAGUAGACCGCCUGGGGAGUACGGUCGCAAGNUUAAAACGUCAAAGGAAUUGACGG